ensembl:lncRNA
UUGUCUACAGCAUAUAAAUUCAAAACAGAUGGGGGAGAGACACAUCAGAUCAGAGGCGCUGUACUGCUCUGGACACCAAUUACGGUACACAAAAUGUGUCACAUGCCUUUUCACAGAGCUACUAGUGUGUGGUAUUUCCAUGAUCUGUCAACCGCAGUUUAUUAUUUCUCAGCCAUGGGCAGCUCUUCUGCUCUCAGUGGUGAUGGCCCCAUUUGAUGGGAGCUCAGCGGGGCACUUCAGUUCUCCUCCACGUGGUUUCUCUCUGCAUGGCUUCUCUUAUCCUCCAUGGCUUCUUCAGGUGGCCUCUUUCCAGCAGGAUAGUCUAGACUUUCUCACCACAUGGAACCUGGGAUCCAAGAGGGAGUGUUUGAACAUAACAAACCUAAUUGUUAAGAUGGUUAUGAAGCUUCUGCUUGUGUCACACUUGCUAAAGCCUCAUUGGCCAAGUCAAAUCACAUGAUCAAGAUCAACUUCUGUGUGUAAAAGGGGACUUUACAAGGGAGUGAAUACCAGGGGUAUCACUGGAUAAGGAGGCCACAGUGUAACACACUGCCACACCAGUAAUAAUAAUAAUAGUAAUGAUAUCCGUCAUUUACUGAGCAGGUACCGUGUCAGUGUGAUUUCUCUUUCAUUAUCAUAGUAACAUAGCCUAUCAUCUUGGUAGCUUUAUCAUUUCACAGGAAAGGUAAUGGAGGCUCAGUGACUCUGACCUGUUAAGGUGACAAGAGUGAAUUCAAACACCGGUCUUUCUAUUUUUAAGAUCCCAGGAUAAUAGAUGGGGCUUCCCAGGGGGCACAGCGGUAAAGAAUCCACCUGCCAAUGAGGAGACAUGGAUUCGACCCCUGGGCCAGGAAAAUCCCCUAGAAAAGGAAAUGGCAACCCACUCCAGUACAUUUGCCUGGAAAAUUCCAUAGACAGAGGAGCCUGGUGGGCUACAGUCCAUGGGGUCUCAAAGAGUUGGACACUACUGAGUUACUGAGCAUAUGCACACAGUAGAAUAGAUAGAAGUGUGGGAUGCCGAGAAGUAAUUUUUUCUAAAAGAGGAAAAUGUAUUUUUAAUGUAACAAUGAAUUUUGGAAUUUGGAAGGGAAAAAGAAAGAUUCUAGUCAGUGGUUUUCUGUGCAGGGUGUUCUAGUGUGUUUGGGGCCUUCUUGUCCCAAGACUGACGUUCUUCAUUUGCAGUCAUUCUUUCUAAUUCUGGCAUUUCAAAUGGAGAACAUAGUCAGUAAACAAGAUUGGGUAUAAUUAGACUAAUCAAAAUGCAAAAAGAGUAUAAUGCAACUUUUCUUUUAAUCAGCUCUUGUUUUAAUCCUUGGCAAGAAGAGCCAGUCUCUACCCUGGCUAUGUUUUCAAAAGUUCUUCCCCAAACCAUUUGGGAAGCAGAGAGCUGGAGAAAGAAGAGGAGUGGAGGCAGCUAGACCCUGUAAUAAGGCAGAUUUCAAAACAUAGCUCAGAUUUUUGGAAAAUCCCUUCUUGGGCAUAAAAAGUGCAACAACCUAUGUUCAGAUGCUUUUGCCAGCUGAAAACCACCAUGACACUCGAAUGCGGUUUGCAAAUGUUCCCUUCUUCCCCACCAGCACCCACGGCUGUGUUCCAGGAGAUGAAUACAGUGUUUGGCCUGUCUCAGGGCUGAGAGUGUAUGAAGCAUGGGCAUUGUUGGGUGAGCCUGGCUGGGAGUUCUUAAAAUCAAGGGAAUCAUGUGGAAAGAUUAAUGGAAACUUAUAUUAAAAUAUGAUACCUCCAAAAAUAAUUUCUUGCAAGCAGUAAGAAUUAAAGCAUUGUGAAACAAACAGAGCUUUCACUAUUAACCUUAGGAAAGAAAAAAGGGUGGCUGGCUCAGUGGAAAAUAUCGGCUGUGAUUUUUUUUUUCUUUUGGCCCUUUCCAUGCUAGAUGGCACUAUGAUGGAAGGGCUUGGUUGUUUGAAGAGACUCCCAGAGAGGGAGGGAUAAAAACAGCUCAUGUGAGUUUUGGUAUAUCAUGGUUGGUGGGUUCCUAUUUUAUUUUCAACCCUCCGUUGUCUCAUUACUUCACUAUUAUUUUGGUUUUAGAGGUAAUUUUAAUCUUAAAUAUAGUGUUUGGUUUUUCUCAAUGUAGGCACUUGGAGGGAAAUCUAACAGGUCUACCAAAUCCCUGGAGUGAAUGUUGACUGACAUCUGCAUGGCACUUGCCUGUGUCCUUCCCACGCGCCACCCCCCCCGCCCCCUGCACCCUAGUGGCAGUACUUUAAUGGCAUGAAGUUCCUGGAAAAUAGUAUUUCUUAACCAAUUUCUUUCAAAGUGAAGUCCAUAGAGAAAAGGGUCAUUUUAUCUGAGCAAAUAACAAAUUCUUACAGACGCUUGUAAUCACUGUCAACUCUCCCUCCCACCCCUCAAAAAUAGACCUUGUGGUGUGAAGUGAGGACAGCAAGUGAUUCAUGUGUGAGUUUAUAAUUCAUUUUAGAAAUAAAGCUGAGCCCGUAAAGUACA